AGAGCUCGGAAAAAAAAUUGUCUUAUGCCCUUAAUCCUCCCUGGCCUCGGGACUGCAGGAUAUGCUGCUCAAGAGCAGGAUUGUGAUAUUUGUUUCAUUUAAAGGAAUGGAUUAUUCAAGCUUGUUGCCAGCAGGCUGAGGAAACUGAAACCAGUCAUCACAGCGGGGGGAGAGACUGAGGGAAAUUGAUGUGGACGACAGCUUCCUGGAAAGGAGGAAGAAUCAUCAGCAUUGCUGUCCACAGCCAAUCCUGCCAUGUGAAGGGAUACAGUAUGUCGAAGCAGAGGUUGUAAAAUGGGAAGAAGAGCCCUCCUGGGGUCGACACCUGUGGUGACACGCAUGUCUUCGUGAUAGAUUGCAAUAACUUUGACGAGUCCUUAACAUUCCGUGAAAUGCCAUCGUUUGGUCAGUUGCUGCAAGAUUCCCAUUCUGUGGUGCCAGUAACCAAAGAAAUCUGGGAGAACACCUUUGGGACCAGGUUAAAUCCUACAAUACGAGUCAUCCGUUGAGAAGCAGCUUGAGCUGUGGCCCACAGGGAGACGCGUGUGUGCAGCAGAAUGUGAAAAACAGUGAAGAGUCCAGCACCCUGUCAAUGAUAAAGGAGGGGGAUUUGAAGUUCUCGGACCAAAUCUCUGGCAAGCUGAGAGAUUGAAGCUGAGGCUGUCUGAGUGGGUGAACGGGUUUUUCUUUGUCAGAGUUCACACCUCAACAAACACGCCACAACCCGCCGGCGCAGCAUUAAAAAGAAAUGACAGAGGAUGUUUUCUUUGCGUCACAAACAUAACUGAGCUCCUCCAGUGUGACACAAUGACAGUGGUGGGCCUGCACGGCAAUAUUUUUGGACUCUGUCCUGGAAAUAAAAAAAGGAUUAAAGAUGACUCGAGUAGAGGUUUGUGCUCAACUCAAACACCGUUUAAAUCAAAGCAGAAAAACUAUUUUAGUCUGCAUCAGGUUUACUUAGUAACCUGAUAUCAAGCUGAGAGCUCGUCAAAGACGUUCGCCACGAAGGCACAUAUUGAUUUGUCCCGUACCCCGCUGAAAGCCCGGUCGUUGCAUUGGCGAGAGGUGAGAGAGAACUGAGAGUCCUCGUUCUUUCUUGUCGGUCCACCAGCAGGUGAAGUGACAGCUCGGCCGACACUCUUUAAGCCUCCGCUCUGCCCGGUGAAAAUAUGACAGCUCUCCGGGGGACGCAGAAGGACCAAUCGACUCCUCGUGCACUUCACUCUGCUCCCUCCAGUCCUGUAUCUAUAGAUUGGGGUUGUGUCCUCCGUCGGUGCACGCUCAAAGCAUUGUGCAAAGUCAGUGGGAUCAGCUCUUUCGGAGCGCCGCUGCAGUUAGUCCAGGAGAUUUCUGUCACCAAUGCCACAGCACUGGGUCAAACUGGUGUUUGGAAAUAGCUCUCGGCUUGUGCAAACCCUUCACUGAGGUGAACCUU